GCACUGUCGAGGUGCCAAGAACACCGAGUCUCCACAGCGGGAAAUUGCAGCCAUUAACAAAACAAGAUUAACUAGGAGGACAGGUGAGGUAACCUGUGCCUUUGUGCCAACCUGUCAACCCAGGCUGAUGCUCUUGUAUUAAAAUGCCCUGCCUAGCAACAGCUCCGAUGCCCUGUUAAACUCGUGAGAGCUGCUUGCUUGCUUAAAUAUUUUUCAGCCUCGAACAGGAAGUCUCCAGUGACUCAAUUCAGAAGGAACACUGAGAAUUAAAGAAAUGAAAUCUGGACACAAAAUUUGUCCUUCGCCUCUGGCAUUCAGAAAGAAAGCAACUGGAUGCAAAGCUAGUAAGAUUGUCCACUGGCUUGACAAGCAUGUCUCCCUCCCCCACUGCAGAACUUGGGAACAUGAAGCUGCUCCUCCAGGCCUUCUUCUUUGAAGAUGGAGGAGGAAACGAGCACAGGCAAAUCUGGAACUUUGACCGCUAUCAUACAGAGCCUCAGUGGCAGGCAAGACUGGGCCACCUGGGCAAUUUCCAAAGCCUUCAAGAAUCACAGAUCCUGUUUUUCCUCCCAUUGGCUAAAAGUAUAAUAAGUGCAGGUUAUAGCCUGACCACCUUCUGAGAUAAUCCUGUAAUGGUUAGUAAGGGAAAGGAGAGAAAGUCCAGAUGCUGCCCUUUUUUCUCCUGCUUAGAGUGAGUUGCAUGCUAAGUUGAAAGCAGUUUUAAAGGUAGACUGGAAAGUGCUUUCUCUUUAGGAGGCAACCCAUUUCAGAAAAUCAGUAGGACACAGGCAACACGGCUACAAUGGGACAUGGUUGAAGAAGGGGGAGGGGCACAGCACAUGGGUAGUUAUUAUUGUUCUACCUACCUGAUAGGGAAGACUCCAAAAGCAACAGCCACACACAAGUCCAUUGUCUUAAGAGCAUAUUGAUUUUUUUAUUCAUUUAAUUCUCAACAAAUAUUUACUGAAAAUUGGCAAUAUACUAAGCUUUGGGAUACAACAAAACAAAUUGAAACCCCUGGUCUUUUAAACUUCUCAUUUCAAGACAGAGGCAGAUAGGGGAUGGAGGGAGAGAGAUAAUAUACAAAUAAAUAAACAAACAGUAUCAUUUCAAACACUAUCAAGCAUUACUAUCAUGAUAAACCAUGGCAAUUUGACAGCAAGUGACUGGAGGUGGGGGGUUAGUUUAGGCCUGUGCUGUCCAAUAGAGUAGUCACUAGUCACAUGUGGCUCUUGAGCAAUUUAAGUGUGGCUAGUCCAAAUUUAGAUGUCCUGUAAGAGAUGUGCUCAAUUUUCAAAGAUUAGUAUGAGAAAAAGAAUGCAAAAUGUUUCAUGAAUAUCUUUAUACUGAUUGCAUAUUGAAAUGAUGAUAUUUCAGAUAUAAUGAGUUAAAUAGAUAUAUUAUUAAAAUUAAUUUCACCUCUUGAAAAAAUUUUAAUGUGGCUACUAAAGAAUUUACAAUCGCAUAUAUGACCCACAUUUGUCUCUCCUAAUAUGUCUACCCAGCAGCACUAUUUUAGACAGAGUGGGUAGGUAAGGCUUCCCGAGGAGGUGAUAAUACACUUAGGACAGGGCUGGCCAUGUGAAAGUCUGGGGGCAAAGUGGUUCAGGCAAGGGGACAAUAAUUGCAGAGAACCUGAGGUGGGACCCAGCUUGGUGAGUCAGAAAAGAAAGACAGAAAGCCAGUGUGCCUGAAGAGAAGGCCAAGAGACGGAGUGGUAGAGGGAGCUAGGCCCCUGAGAAAGAUUCUUGCUCAUGGAGGGCCUUGUAGCCUAGAGGAAGAAGUUAGGAUUUUAUAUAAAUACAAAUUUUCUAUAAAUUAUUUUAGCAGACUUAUUUCUGUGUAAUUUUCCAGGCACUGUUCCAAAAUAUUCAGUAUAGAACCCUGGCUAAAAAAAUGUAAAGAAUCCCACUCAGCUCAGAAUAUCUUCAUGCUAAUGGAGGCUUAUGAGAUAUGCAUUUAUUUUCAUAUAAUAGUUAUAAUGUUUUUAUAUGGGUGCUUUUUUAUAGAAGGAUGAACACAGGUGGACAGAAUGUACUCAAAUAAAUUGAAUGAAUAUCUGUCUCAUCUUCCUCUACUUUACUCAUCUCAAGCUCAAACUCUGAGUGUAUGUGUAAUAGAGGAAGUUCACCCAGAAAGUACGGAGUACAGGUUGAGAAAUAUAUACUGAGGUUUUCCCUUCUGAGGUUUUCCCUUCUUUACACAUCAGUGUGUGUCUACUAUAUAUAUUUUUCUCCUGGGCGACUCCCAGGAAGAGGAAAGUAAACUGAAUAUGUUUUUCCUUCCUACCCUGGGGGAGUGGUUAUAAAAAAAAAAAAGAAGUGAAUGAUCAAAUGGCCAAAUGUGUCUGAUAUAUUUUAGAGUUUAUAUAAUAAAUGUAUUGCCACAAGAGCAAAAUUUUGAGUUUCUCAAGUGAAUUGGAAACACUUUCGUUCCCAAAUAUGAAAGGAAAACUGACAUCCAUAAUUAUCAGGCAACUUUCUCAUACACAAUAAAAGACAAAGUAGACCAUGCCCUAAAGAGGGACAUGUGAUCACUAAAUUAAAAAGUAAUGAAUCCAAGUGUUCAGAUUAUCCAGGAUACUGUCAAGAUGGAUGAGUAGUAAAAAUAUGCUAAACCCUGUCAGCCAUGAUCAUCAAAAGUAGAGCAGGGUUCUUGCUGGACUUGGCCACUGGAAACUAGUGUAUAGGUGAGAAAACUUGGUUACAAGGCACAAAUAGGGCCCAAAUGAGCUCACCAGGUGUACUCCUUUGAAUAAGUUUCAUGAAACUCACAAUUUAGUCAAGUUGAAGUUCAUGGUGAAUAAGGUACUUUGCCAAGGCCAAAUGGUAAAUUACUAGAGGAGCAGAUAUCUGAGCCCACGUCUGCCUUUCUUCUCUGUCCUGCUGCACAUGGACACAUUUUAUGAAUCAAUGUAAGAGCAGAAUACUUUCACCAACAUUAAUGCUGUGAAAGUACUAAUGAAA